AGGAUUAACGCUGGCGGCGUGCCUAACACAUGCAAGUCGAACGAGGUAGCAAUACCUAGUGGCAGACGGGUGAGUAACGCGUGGUCAACCUACCGUUGAGUGGGGGAUAACUAGCCGAAAGGUUAGCUAAUACCGCAUACGAGUCUGAGGGGCAUCCCUUAGCCUUAAAAGGAGCAAUCCGCUCGAUGACGGGACCGCGUCCCAUUAGCUAGAUGGUGGGUAACGCCUACCAUGGCACCGAUGGGUAGCUGGUUUGAGAGAGCGACCAGCCACACUGGGACUGAGAAACGGCCCAGACUCCUACGGGAGGCAGCAGUGAGGAUUUUCCGCAAUGGGCGAAAGCCUGACGGAGCGACGCCGCGUGUGGGAAGAAGGCCUUCGGGUCGUAAACCACUGUCGAAGGGGACGAUAAUGACGGUACCCUUAGAGGAAGCCCGGCUAACUACGCGCCAGCAGCCGC
rnacentral:rRNA from 1 species